rnacentral:rRNA from 1 species
UACGUAGGAGGCAAGCGUUGUCCGGAAUUACUGGGCGUAAAGCGCGUGUAGGUGGUGGGACAAGUCUGCUGUGAAAGUGCCUGGCUUAACCGGGCGAGUCGGCGGAAACUGUCCGACUCGAGGACGGUAGAGGGGGGUGGAAUUCCCGGUGUAGUGGUGAAAUGCGUAGAGAUCGGGAGGAACACCUGUGGCGAAGGCGGCCCC